rnacentral:tRNA from 1 species
AGUUAUUUAGCUUAUUCUUAAAGCAUAUAUCUUGAAAAUAUAAGAAAGAGAAAUUUAAUAACUU